AAUGGCGGAUGAAGAUUAUUGAAUUCUUAUCCUACACACUGAAUUCAAUUUUGUGUUGAUUACUUACUCCGCUUAUUAUCUGACGCUAUC